rnacentral:lncRNA from 1 species
CUGGGUGUAGUCAAGUACUUGACUUGUCGGUGCGUGUGUCAAGAUGGGAUUGACCACUCCAGUUUAGGAGCUGUGUAUAGUCGUGUUUCAAUUUAGCAAAAUCUUGGCCAGGGUAGUCCUAGUGAGGAGUCACAGGACUGAUUGAGUUGAGCACGAUUCGGAUGAUCUCAUCAGGGUUGACAGUUUAACCCUGAGUCAUCUUAAACACAGAGGUCAAAAGGGAUGAAUUAUACGGUAACCAUAUUCACGUAGGUUCUGAAUGUUGUGAUUGCGACUAUUCGACUUAUCCGAUCAUCGGGUACCAUUGCUAGAUGGUCACUUCGAUUAGUACAGGAAUUGGUUCCUGUACUACCGACUUAGGUUCGAACCUGCGGGAUCACACACAUUAGAGGUUUCUUUCUGAUCUGAUGGCUGAUUAUGAGUCUUAUGUGUCUGGGACUCUAUGAUUGAGAAUUAGAAUUCUCUGAUCAUGAGUUCCACAUAUUUUGGGUACCGGGGUCAAAAUUU